GCCAGUGUGAUGCUGUAAGGCGUUGAUAUAUCGGACGAUAGCGGUAGCAAGCGCGGCCCGUGAUUGCCUUGAAACGGAUUCAAAAUCCGCCGCUGUAACAGGCGUGUCGGUUCGAGUCCGACCACCGGCACCA
rnacentral:tRNA from 1 species